rnacentral:rRNA from 1 species
UACGGGGGGGGCAAGCGUUGUUCGGAAUUACUGGGCGUAAAGGGCGCGUAGGCGGCUCUGUUAGUCAGGCGUGAAAGCCCUGGGCUCAACCUGGGGACUGCGCUUGAUACGGCGGGGCUUGAGGGCAGGAGAGGCUCGCGGAAUUCCCAGUGUAGAGGUGGAAUUCGUAGAUAUUGGGAAGAACACCGGUGGCGAAGGCGGCGAGCUGGCCUGUUACUGACGCUGAGGCGCGACAGCGUGGGGAGCAAACAGG